GUCCUAGCCCUAAACCAUCAGAACUUGGGGUGGCCCGCGUAGGCGGGUCGUCCCGUAGCUAACGCGUUAAGUUCUGCGCCUGGGGAGUACGGUCGCAAGACUGAAACUCAAAGGAAUUGACGGGGCCCGCACAAGCGGUGGAACAUGUGGUUCAAUUUCGACGCAACGCGAAGAACCUUACCUGGGCUUGAACCGCUACUGACCAAGGGUAGAAAUAUCCUCUUCCCGCAAGGGACAGUAGUAGAGGUGCUGCAUGGCUGUCGU
rnacentral:rRNA from 1 species